CCUACGGGUGGCAGCAGUGGGGAAUAUUGCACAAUGGGGGAAACCCUGAUGCAGCGACGCCGCGUGAGUGAAGAAGUAUUUCGGUAUGUAAAGCUCUAUCAGCAGGGAAGAAAAUGACGGUACCUGACUAAGAAGCCCCGGCUAACUACGUGCCAGCAGCCGCGGUAAUACGUAGGGGGCAAGCGUUAUCCGGAUUUACUGGGUGUAAAGGGAGCGUAGAUGGGAGUACAAGUCUGGAGUGAAAUGCCGGGGCUUAACCCCGGAACUGCUUUGGAAACUGUGCAGCUAGAGUGCAGGAGAGGUAAGCGGAAUUCCUAGUGUAGCGGUGAAAUGCGUAGAUAUUAGGAGGAACACCAGUGGCGAAGGCGGCUUACUGGACUGUAACUGACGUUGAGGCUCGAAAGCGUGGGGAGCAAACAGGAUUAGAUACCCCUGUAGUC
rnacentral:rRNA from 1 species